GAAUGGAAACAAACAAUGGAUAAUUCAAGUCUGGCAGGAACAGGAAAGGCUGCAAAGGAGCCAGGCAGGUCUGCUGGCUCCCUGGGAGUUAAAAGGGAACAAUUAAGGAAGAUGAGGACACAGCUGAGAAGUGAAAUGAUUUCAUUUCAUAAGUUCUCACCUCAGGGGAUGUUGGGAAAAAUCUGCUCCUGACUUGCUCCUUGCUGGUAAUAAAGCAGUUCUCGGGGUGGAUUCUGUCAUUCCUGUCACCGACUGAUGCUGCCCGAGGAGCUCAUUUCCAUCCCCCCCAGCAGACUCCCCCAAAAAAUCCACGCAGCUCCUCGAGGCAAUGUGAGGGUUAGGUAUUUCCCUCUGAUGGAUCAUCCCCAGUUGUGUCUCCCCGGAAAAUAAAAAUGAAGAAGAAAGGAAGAGAUUGAACAGCGUGUCCUGGAGAGCAAGGCAGAGGGGAAAUGGGCUGUACCUCGGCACUCAGAAGGAAAGGGACCCUUUGGAAUUCAGCAGGAUUGGCAGCAGGACGCCCCAGAGAUGGGGCAGCAGAGGUGGCCUCUCAUCGUGCAUCCUCUCAGUGCUGUGCAGUUAUUUCAUCUCCUCCUCCGAGUUUUGGUCUUCUGUAGCACAUUGAUUUGAA